rnacentral:rRNA from 1 species
CGGAGGGUGCAAGCGUUAAUCGGAAUUACUGGGCGUAAAGCGCACGCAGGCGGUCUGUUCAAGUCGGAUGUGAAAUCCCCGGGCUCAACCUGGGAACUGCAUUCGAAACUGGCAGGCUAGAGUCUUGUAGAGGGGGUAGAAGUUCCAGGUGUAGCGGUGAAAUGCGUAGAGAUCUGGAGGAAUACCGGUGGCGAAGGCGGCCCCCUGGACAAAGACUCGACGCUCAGGUGCGAAAGCGUGGGGAGCAAACAGGAUUAGGAUACCCUGGUAGUCCACGCCGUAAACGAUGUCGACUUGGAGGUUGUUCCCUUGAGGAGUGGCUUCCAGAGCUAACGCGUUAAGUCGACCGCCUGGGGAGUACGGCCGCAAGGUUA